GUCUAGUCGUUUUCAGAUCUAGGGCAUACAGUACAUUUAUAAGAAAAUGGAAAGACAGAUAGUUGAUUAUGUGAUGCUGUAUGUUAAGGUCAUAACUUAAGGUUAGCGAAGGGAGGAAUGUGUUCAGUGUUCCAAGUUAUCUUGGAAAUGUUCUUUUUUAGUUAAAUUAUUAUCACUUUCCCGUUUUGUUUUUGCAGCACCCAUUGGAUUUUGGCGUUUUGCUUUCAAGAUUUUGUCUCUCUUUUGCAACGUUUCCGUGAUUUCAAAUGACUUAACCAUGCCAAAUCACCUCACUUCCCCUUAAUCAAAACUGGGUCCAUUAGGUACAUCUUAUUACAAUGGGAUAAAUAUUGUGUGAUUUGUGGCGAUAUAUUGAGUGAGAGCUGGUAUUGUGUUUGAUCAAAUGCCUGACUGAAUACUGGUUUCUUGGACAAGUGUCGUUUGGGUUCCGAGGCAAUGAGGUUGGUGUCUUUAGGACGCAUAAGGUGUGUAGAGUUGCAUGUGACUUUCUAAUGGUUAUGCUGAGGCAGACUGUGAAAUGUGAGUUUGACUUGUGUAGCUCUUGUUGUGCUUCAGUUCUUGGUAUGUUAGUUUCUCAAUGGCAUCCCCGUUGUGGGGAAGAUCUGGGGCAUCAAGGAAUACGUUGCCUGAUAUCUAUGUGCUUCAGUUCUAAAUGGCAUUCUUUUAUUUAUUUGAUUCUUGUAAAUUAUGUGCUUUGUCGAUUUCUGACCAUGGGAGACUCUUCCAUUGUGUAUCUCUGAAGGAUGGUUUUAAUAUGAUGACGUUGCGGGUAGUAAAUUAAGAUCAAGCUUGCAGAAUCGUAGGUAAACAUUGUUAAAGUUGGUAUCUGCCCGUUUAUGUUUUCACACAUGAAGUGUAAGUUGAAAUGAUCAUAAUUGUAACAUGAAUUUCAUGCACAUCAUUAAUCAUAUACAUACUUAUGAUAGAUAGGAAGUUAAUGUUGCUUUAUUUUAUAUUUUUUACGUACUGACCUUCUUCUUCCUUAUUUUUUUUAUUUUUUGGUUUUUUUUCCCCCAUAGUAAAAUCUGAUUAAAUAAAGAAGAGUGGUGUAGCAUCACAGAUUUAGAAGGAGCCUCCAAUUCACCAAUUACUGUUACCAGGCACCAACAUGGCCCAACAGAAUCACUCUACUCCGAUGCAGGUCCAAAAAGGCACUAAGAUUAAUAUUAUUUUAACACGACAUCAUAUGAAUUUCGACCAUGAAGAAAACAAUGUGCAGAUCCUGUUCCAAUGACUGCCCAGCUUUCUGCUGCAGGUGGCUAUAUGGUUGGAUUUGAUGUUUUCCUUACUCAUCUGAGUGUCUUCCUUGUAAGUGCUUUGCCCAUUUGCAUCAUUGUUCUGGAUUUGAAAUUUCAAAAUGACCCAGGCAUUUGGCUUGACAUGUCUAAUUAGUUGAUUUUAUUCAAAAGAAAAGAUAGAAACACUGUAUUCUUGGGUCAUGCAAACAAGUGUUUGAGUGUAGGUCUAGAACACACAAUUUUAUCUUCCCUCCCUCCACCCCACACCCCCCCCCCCCCCCCCCCCCCCCCCCCCAAAAAAAAAAAAAAAAUGCUGAAGGGUAGGACCAAUGACCAUGUAACAAUGUCCAUCAUCAGACCCAGCUUUUGUGUGAACAGCAUUGGAAGAAAAGUGAAUAGAGUUUGCUAGGUCAGGUCUAAUGCCAAAUUUAGCGGCCUUCCUCUAGGAACUUUAAUAUGUUUUCUCAGUCUUGUAUUUAUAAGUUUGAUAAAUUGGCAUAAACUAGACAUGGGCAGAGUAGAAGAUGAUGAAUAAGCAGGUACUUAUGAUAGUUCUAUAUAUCUAUAUGUACUCCUGGUGCAGUGAACUAUAGCUGUGCUGAGCUUAUAUGUUAUGUCUAGAUGACUGCAGAUUGAUGCCUGACUGAUUUCUUCUCUGUUCAUGUUGCUCAAUAUUUGAAUACAGUUAAAAUACUCUUUUUUCUUGAUAUUAGGCUUGUGUACCUUCUUUAAACUUAUUCAGUUACGGUUAGUAAAAGGUAUAAAAGGUAUGCUCCUCACUGUUAAACUUGGGUAGUUGUUUUGUAAGAACCUGAUUAUUAUCUAUUUUGGCUUAAGAGAUUUACAUAACUAUCUCUCAUUCAAAUCUGUCUUUACUUAAACUGAGAAAACUAAAGGGUUAUUACCUGAAGAAGGCAUGCUACAUUUGCUAGCAAUGUUGGAUGUAACACUGUUUUUGUACAUGAUGUUACGUUUUAACUUUUAAGCUAUUUUAAAAAAUGUAAUGCAAAUGUAUGAUACACAAAAAUCAAUAAGAUAGUGUAGAAAUCUUAGGUAUUCAUUAGGAAAUAUUGACAGGAUACUAUUAGGAAAGACUUGGGAGGUAGAACAAGUAAUCUGAAGCAUAUGUUGAGGUGUGAUUUUCAUGUUUUUUAUAGAAUUAAAUAUAUGUUAAUAUUAAAGAGUUAUGAAUAUUUUUUCCCAAUACGCAAUAAUUUACUAAUUUUUGAACUUUGUGUAAUAGCUGAUAUUCUUGGACUAAGGGCAAGAAAAACUAGAUGUUUUCCUACGGUCAAACGCAGGUGCCAGCUUGUUUUGCCCAGCUGCUUAUAUUCUUGCAUCUUCAAUUGGGAAAAACAAUGGCUAAUUAUUUCCGAGCCCUUGUUGGUAGGGAUUCGUUCGGACGGAAGAAGUUCGUAUUUCUGUAGUCGAUUCGAAAAAAU